UCCGGUUUGUCACCGGCAGUCUCCUUAGAGUCCCCGACCGAAUCGAUGGUAACUAAGGACAAGGGUUGCGCUCGUUACGGGACUUAACCCAACAUUUCACAACACGAGCUGACGACAGCCAUGCAGCACCUGUCUCUGCGCUCCCGAAGGCACCCGGAUAUUUCUACCCAGUUCGCAGGAUGUCAAGGAGUGGUAAGGUUCUUCGCGUUGCAUCGAAUUAAACCACAUGCUCCACCGCUUGUGCGGGCCCCCGUCAAUUCAUUUGAGUUUUAACCUUGCGGCCGUACUCCCCAGGCGGUCGACUUAAUGCGUUAGCUGCGCCACUAAAACCUCUAAGGAUUCCAACGGCUAGUCGACAUCGUUUACAGCGUGGACUAC
rnacentral:misc_RNA from 1 species